rnacentral:rRNA from 1 species
GCGAGGCCGAAAGGCGUAGUCGAUGGGAAACAGGUUAAUAUUCCUGUACUUGGUGUUACUGCGAAGGGGGGACGGAGAAGGCUAUGUUAGCCGGGCGACGGUUGUCCCGGUUUAAGCAUGUAGGCUGAUUGUCCAGGCAAAUCCGGAUAAUCAAGGCUGAGGUGUGAUGACGAGGCACUACGGUGCUGAAGUAACAAAUGCCCUGCUUCCAGGAAAAGCCUCUAAGCAUCAGGUAACAUUAAAUCGUACCCCAAACCGACACAGGUGGUCAGGUAGAGAAUACCAAGGCGCUUGAGAGAACUCGGGUGAAGGAACUAGGCAAAAUGGUGCCGUAACUUCGGGAGAAGGCACGCUGGUGUGUAGGUGA